UGGUUUCUCUUCAGAUCGUAUAAAUCU
rnacentral:piRNA from 3 species